rnacentral:rRNA from 1 species
GAACUCAGGCCAAAGCAUGCAAGACCGGGAUGGGAGUGGGAGACCUUGGGCUAAUACCGGAUGGUUGUUUGAACCGCAUGGUUCAAACAUAAAAGGUGGCUUCGGCUACCACUUACAGAUGGACCCGCGGCGCAUUAGCUAGUUGGUGAGGUAACGGCUCACCAAGGCAACGAUGCGUAGCCGACCUGAGAGGGUGAUCGGCCACACUUGGACUGAGACACGGCCCAGAUUCCUACGGGAGGCAGCAGUAGGGAAUCUUCCGCAAUGGACGAAAGUCUGACGGAGCAACGCCGCGUGAGUGAUGAAGGUUUUCGGAUCGUAAAGCUCUGUUGUUAGGGAAGGACAAGUACCGUUCGAAUAGGGCGGUACCUUGACGGUACCUACCCAGAAAGCCACGGCUAACUACGUGCCAGCAGCCGCGGUAAUACGUAGGUGGCAAGCGUUGUCCGGAAUUAUUGGGCGUAAAGGGCUCGCAGGCGGUUUCUUAAGUCUGAUGUGAAAGCCCCCGGCUCAACCGGGGAGGGUCAUUGGAAACUGGGGAACUUGAGUGCAGAAGAGGAGAGUGGAAUUCCACGUGUAGCGGUGAAAUGCGUAGAGAUGUGGAGGAACACCAGUGGCGAAGGCGACUCUCUGGUCUGUAACUGACGCUGAGGAGCGAAAGCGUGGGGAGCGAACAGGAUUAGAUACCCUGGUAGUCCACGCCGUAAACGAUGAGUGCUAAGUGUUAGGGGGUUUCCGCCCCUUAGUGCUGCAGCUAACGCAUUAAGCACUCCGCCUGGGGAGUACGGUCGCAAGACUGAAACUCAAAGGAAUUGACGGGGGCCCGCACAAGCGGUGGAGCAUGUGGUUUAAUUCGAAGCAACGCGAAGAACCUUACCAGGUCUUGACAUCCUCUGAAAUCCUAGAGAUAGGACGUCCCCUUCGGGGGCAGAGUGACAGGUGGUGCAUGGUUGUCGUCAGCUCGUGUCGUGAGAUGUUGGGUUAAGUCCCGCAACGAGCGCAACCCUUGAUCUUAGUUGCCAGCAUUCAGUUGGGCACUCUAAGGUGACUGCCGGUGACAAACCGGAGGAAGGUGGGGAUGACGUCAAAUCAUCAUGCCCCUUAUGACCUGGGCUACACACGUGCUACAAUGGACAGAACAAAGGGCAGCGAAACCGCGAGGUUAAGCCAAUCCCACAAAUCUGUUUUCAGUUCGGAUGGGCAGUUACCCACCG